rnacentral:rRNA from 1 species
AGUAAAUAGAUACCCGGGUAGUCCACGCCGUAAACGAUGAGUACUAGGUGUAGGAGGUAUCGACUCCUUCUGUGCCGCAGUUAAACACAAUAAGUACUCCGCCUGGGAAGUACGGUCGCAAGAUUAAAACUCAAAGGAAUUGACGGGGGUCCCGGCACAAGCAGCGGAGCAUGUGGUUUAAAUUCGAAGCAGCGCGAAGAACCUUACCUAGACUUGACAUCUCCUGAAUAGUGUAGAGAUACAUGAAGCCCUUCGGGGUCAGGAAGACAGGUGGUGCAUGGUUGUCGUCAGCUCGUGUCGUGAGAUGUUGGG